rnacentral:rRNA from 1 species
UACGGAGGGUGCAAACGUUGCUCGGAAUUAUUGGGCGUAAAGCGCACGUAGGCGGUCUAUCAAGUCGGAUGUGAAAGCCCUGGGCUCAACUCAGGAAGUGCAUUCGAAACUGACAGGCUUGAAUAUGGAAGAGGGUCGCGGAAUUCCCGGUGUAGAGGUGAAAUUCGUAGAUAUCGGGAGGAACACCAGUGGCGAAGGCGGCGAUCUGGGUCGAUACUGACGCUGAGGUGCGAAAGCGUGGGGAGCAAACAGG